GAUGAACGCUGGCGGCGUGCCUAAUACAUGCAAGUCGAGCGAACAGACGAGGAGCUUGCUCCUCUGACGUUAGCGGCGGACGGGUGAGUAACACGUGGAUAACCUACCUAUAAGACUGGGAUAACUUCGGGAAACCGGAGCUAAUACCGGAUAACAUGUUGAACCGCAUGGUUUAACAGUGAAAGACGGUCUUGCUGUCACUUAUAGAUGGAUCCGCGCCGCAUUAGCUAGUUGGUAAGGUAACGGCUUACCAAGGCAACGAUGCGUAGCCGACCUGAGAGGGUGAUCAGCCACACUGGAACUGAGACACGGUCCAGACUCCUACGGGAGGCAGCAGUAGGGAAUCUUCCGCAAUGGGCGGAAGCCUGACGGAGCAGCGCCGCGUGAGUGAAGAAGGUCUUCGGAUCGUAAAACUCUGUUAUUAGGGAAGAACAAAUGUGUAAGUAACUAUGCACGUCUUGACGGUACCUAAUCAGAAAGCCACGGCUAACUACGUG
rnacentral:rRNA from 1 species